rnacentral:rRNA from 1 species
GUUUCAGCAGCCGCGGUAAUACGUAGGGUGCGAGCGUUAUCCGGAAUUAUUGGGCGUAAAGAGCUCGUAGGCGGUUUGUCGCGUCUGUCGUGAAAGCCCGGGGCUUAACCCCGGAUCUGCGGUGGGUACGGGCAGACUAGAGUGCAGUAGGGGAGACUGGAAUUCCUGGUGUAGCGGUGGAAUGCGCAGAUAUCAGGAGGAACACCGAUGGCGAAGGCAGGUCUCUGGGCUGUAACUGACGCUGAGGAGCGAAAGCAUGGGGAGCGAACAGGAUUAGAUACCCUGGUAGUCCAUGCCGUAAACGUUGGGCACUAGGUGUGGGGACCAUUCCACGGUUUCCGCGCCGCAGCUAACGCAUUAAGUGCCCCGCCUGGGGAGUACGGCCGCAAGGCUAAAACUCAAAGGAAUUGACGGGGGCCCGCACAAGCGGCGGAGCAUGCGGAUUAAUUCGAUGCAACGCGAAGAACCUUACCAAGGCUUGACAUGUUCUCGAUCGCCGUAGAGAUACGGUUUCCCCUUUGGGGCGGGUUCACAGGUGGUGCAUGGUUGUCGUCAGCUCGUGUCGUGAGAUGUUGGGUUAAGUCCCGCAACGAGCGCAACCCUCGUUCCAUGUUGCCAGCACGUCGUGGUGGGGACUCAUGGGAGACUGCCGGGGUCAACUCGGAGGAAGGUGAGGACGACGUCAAAUCAUCAUGCCCCUUAUGUCUUGGGCUUCACGCAUGCUACAAUGGCCGGUACAAUGGGUUGCGAUACUGUGAGGUGGAGCUAAUCCCAAAAAGCCGGUCUCAGUUCGGAUUGGGGUCUGCAACUCGACCCCAUGAAGUCGGAGUCGCUAGUAAUCGCAGAUCAGCAACGCUGCGGUGAAUACGUUCCCGGGCCUUGUACACACCGCCCGUCAAAC